GAAUAUGAAGCAAUUUUUGCAAUUAGUUUCGACCUAAUUUUACAGGUAUUAAAUUACCCUUAUUCU
rnacentral:tRNA from 1 species